UCGGAGCAUAUUUUGGACAAU
rnacentral:piRNA from 1 species